rnacentral:rRNA from 1 species
GACGAACGCUGGCGGCGUGCCUAAUACAUGCAAGUCGAGCGGAUGAAAGAGGAGCUUGCUCCUCUAGAUUCAGCGGCGGACGGGUGAGUAACACGUGGGCAACCUGCCCUGUAGAUUGGGAUAACUCCGGGAAACCGGGGCUAAUACCGAAUAAUCCUUCGGACCUCAUGGUCCGAUGUUGAAAGACGGUUUCGGCUGUCACUACAGGAUGGGCCCGCGGCGCAUUAGCUAGUUGGUGAGGUAACGGCUCACCAAGGCCACGAUGCGUAGCCGACCUGAGAGGGUGAUCGGCCACACUGGGACUGAGACACGGCCCAGACUCCUACGGGAGGCAGCAGUAGGGAAUCUUCCACAAUGGACGAAAGUCUGAUGGAGCAACGCCGCGUGAGUGAAGAAGGUUCUCGGAUUGUAAAACUCUGUUGUGAGGGAAGAACAAGUACCGGAGUAACUGCCGGUGCCUUGACGGUACCUCAUUAGAAAGCCACGGCUAACUACGUGCCAGCCGCCGCUGUAA